rnacentral:lncRNA from 1 species
CUAAUAGCCCUUAACUUGAGGUCAGCAUUCUCUUCCAUCAGUCACUAUGACUCAGGUCCACCAGGCCAGAGCAUGAAAUCUGGAAUGUGUGUAUGGCACGUCAGCUUCCCCAAAUAACACAGCACACUUCAUCAUCUGAGUGCAAACUAGCUCCAGAAACUCUACCCUGCAAAAGUCACAGGGUGGUGACUACAGACCUGCUAGUCCUCUAGAAGAGUUAUAGAGGCAAGGUGAAUUAAUGCAAGAUGUUGGAGAUUCUCUGGUAGACCAGAUCGUCUACUCUAGGACCUGUUGGGGAGCUGGAAAGAAGAAAUCAAAAGAAGGAAUUCUGGUGAUUGUGUCUUACAGAUCCUGAUGGCAAUAACUGUUCAUGACAUUGAACCAGCCAUGGAAGCCUUCUGUGAGUCUGUUUCCCCAGGCUGCAAAUGAGACUGAUGACACCUGCUUCACGUUUAAUAGUGUUUGAUAUGUAUUAGGUAGUCAAUAAAUAAUAGUAAAC